CCUACGGGAGGCAGCAGUGGGGAAUAUUGGGCAAUGGGCGAAAGCCUGAAGCAGCGACGCCGCGUGAGGGAUGAAGGCCUUCGGAUUGUAAACCUCUGUCAGCAGGGAAGAACGCUCAGUGUGCUAAGCACCAUUGAAUUGACGCUACCUGCAAAGGAAGCACCGGCUAACUCCGUGCCAGCAGCCGCGGUAAUACGGAGGGUGCGAGCGUUCAUCGGAAUUACUGGGCGUAAAGCGCUCGUAGGCGGUAUGUCAAGUCUAGGGUGAAAUCCCCGCGCUCAACGUGGGAACUGUCUUUGAAACUGGCAGACUGGAGUGUGUGAGAGGAUGGUGGAAUGCCAGGUGUAGGGGUGAAAUCCGUAGAUAUCUGGAGGAACAUCAGUGGCGAAGGCGACUAUCUGGCACAUAACUGACGCUGAGGCGCGAAAGCGUGGGUAGCAAACAGGAUUAGAUACCCUUGUAGUC
rnacentral:rRNA from 1 species